UGGACCAAUGAUGAGGACUGGUGGCGUAUGAGUCACGGCCGAUGGUGACUACUGCUCUGGAAGUCUGAGGUCCAA
ensembl:snoRNA